rnacentral:misc_RNA from 1 species
AGAGAGAGACAAAAGAAAGAGCAAGUGAAAAUGGCCGCCCGUGAUCGAUAAUCGGACGGUGUGUUUUCAAAUAAAGUUUCGAGGAUAUUUGGCUGAAAAAAAUUAUCGAAAAUUGCGUGUAACGUGUGCCCCAGUGUGUGUUUCCUUAUAAGAAAUCAAAGUGCCGAAAAAAAACUGUAUAAAAUGGCCGUUUUAGCAUGUAGCCGAGCAAUCCUCCACUAACUGAUCUUCUAGUAGCAGCCAACUUCUAGGGAGUGAGCUACCCCCAAUAAACAACCAUGGCACAAACCCAGGGCGAAAUAAGGGUGGGUCCAGGAAACCAGGUAAAAGACAUUUAUGCUCGACUACCUGAGUACAGACCUGGAGUGCCCCCCGAGCAGCUAUCCCCGGAUCCAGAAGAUACACAUAUCAGAGAGGAAUUAAGGUGGGUUCCCGCAAUGACAAUGGACUCGGAUCUUCUUAUGUACCUGCGUGCCGCCCGAAGUAUGGCAGCAUUUGCCGGGAUGUGCGACGGCGGUUGUCCAGAAGAUGGCGCUAAUGCCGCUUCGAGAGAUGAUACCACUAUUAACGCACUGGAUGUGCUACAUGACUCAGGAUAUGACCCAGGCCGAGCCCUUCAGGCCCUAGUAAAAUGUCCGGUGCCAAAAGGUAUCGAUAAGAAAUGGAGCGAAGAGGAAACGAAACGUUUCGUAAAAGGUCUAAGGCAGUUCGGCAAGAACUUUUUCCGUAUUAGGAAGGACCUGUUGCCCCAUAGGGAUACACCCGAACUAGUAGAGUUUUACUACUUGUGGAAAAAGACACCGGGAGCGAAUAACAAUCGGCCGCACAGGAGGAGGAGGCAGGGCUCCUUACGGCGUAUACGUAACACGAGGAAUAGCAGGGGAGGUACGACGGCGGGAGGUCGUACCAGUGGGGCCGCCACCCCUGCCCCGGAAUCCACCGAUAGCCGACCGUCUCCGCAACCGGGGGAGAAAAAACCGGACGAAACCAGUUCGGUUACCGAGGACGACAACGAGAGCGAGGAGGACAGCGAUAGUCGGGACGCUAAUAACUAUAGAUGUUCCCAUUGUUUUACUACAAAUUCAAAAGAUUGGCAACCAGGAGGCAAAGACAAACAAAUCUUAUGCUGGGACUGCAGGACUCACUGGCGUAAAACCAACGAGUUGCCACCACUCACCGCUCCUUCCGCCACCGCUAACACUCCACCUGCCGAAGGACCCGAUGAAAGUCCGCAACGUAUGCGUACAAGAAAUAAAGGCAACGGCAAAGACCAACCGGCGAAUAACAAUAAUAGAGUGCGCGGAAAACGAGAUACACCUGAGCCCAAGACACCGAUCAAACAGGGAGGCAACGACAAGUCGGCCAACGGUCCGGGAACCCCUGCCAAGAAGGCCAAAGGCAAGAACGAGAAAACCGAAGCGUCCAACAAAAACAGAAAAAGAACUCAAGACAAACUGGACGACACUGACGGAGAUGAUAAAGACAGAGAGAACGUCAGCGUGUUCAAGAAGAAAAGAGAGAGAGCUGACAGCCCGGCCAGCGUCACUUCCGACUCUGGCUCCAUCAAUGACGACGCGGACAUCACGGAAAACAGCAGCCAAGAGAAUAGCAACGGUGCAGCUGAGUCAGCGCCAACAACUAACUCGGCUACUACUAGCGUGGCUACUAGCUCCGGACCAGCUACACCUGUCAGCACUAUAGUUAGUAGUACUGUAGCUAGCAGUGCUCCAAGUAUAGUGCCGGAGCAAUCGCCGAUAUCAAAACCGACCGCGAUAAAAUUAGAAGAAACGGAGCCUAAAGUACCGAGCAGCAGUUCUGUGAUAGCGCCCGCGGUACCUGUGAUCACUUCCAGUAAGAUUCAAACCGGAAUAGGGGCGGAACCUAUGCCCUUGAAUGUGUCUAUACGUUUGCCCGAAGAUAUUAAUGAGCGAAAGAGUUUGAUGAAACGUAACCUGGAAGGCCCCCUAGAAACCAAAGAAAACCUAAAAUUCAACCCUACGACUCUCCAGUUUGACGCCCCAAUAGUCAGCGAAGAAAUUAAAACCGAAUCUCCGCUAAAACAAGAAGUUUUACUGAAAAAAGAAGACAUUAAAGAGGAAAUUAAGGAGCCGAUGGUGGCUCACACUCCGCCCCAAUCGAUGCUGCAACCGAUAGACCCGAAACCUUCUCCCUUCAAAACCGAACUGAUCAUCCCGAAAGUAACGGUUGAAAAACCGAUUAUAAAAGAGGAACUCGACUCUAGUAACGACGCCUCGUUGUUAAGCGUGAGCUCCAAAGAGGAUUCUAGCAGUCAACCCCCGCACAACCUAGGAAUCUACAAAGAAAACUCCAUGUAUAUACACCCGAACAUGAACCUAAAAGAAACCAUCAGUUUCGGCAUGAAAGAUCCUCCUUUAAUAAACCACUUGCAGCCGAACCACGCGAUGAACCUCAAAGAAAACAAAGAACCCAUAGUGAACAUGAACCACUCCAGUUACCUGAAAGACGCCCAAUCGCCUUACGGUUAUCAAACGAGGGAUCGCGAGCCCCCCAGGGAGUCUCCUAACCCCACGGGCGGAACCGUUAUCAAACUGGAACCCAGGGAGGAACCGAUGGAAUUAACCAGUCAAACCAGAGCGGAAUCCCUGCCGUACGGAAGUUUACCACCGCUAAACAUUUCCCAAGGGAUGUCACUCCCUCAGCAUCUCACUCAACCAUCGACUCCUCGCGGUAAUGAGGAGGAGAAAUUCCGUCAAGAUAAACUGGAACGUCCAGAACGUUUGGACAGGCCGGAGUUGCAGGGUUCGUCCGCCCCCAUUGGUCAGCCGCCUUUGCCCAUGCAGUCCGGGAACUUGGUUACUAUUGGUGGUUCACAACCGCCCCCGCCCAUGAGCCAUUACGGGUUUAUGCCGCCCUAUGGUAGACCGCAUUCGCCCAGGGGGUUGGAUAAGUCGUCUGCUCAGCAUAUGCAACAGCAACAGCAGAGCGAGCCUCAGAACCUUAAAAUAAAACAGGAAGUUCCCGAUCAAUCACCUGUGCAGCAACCUCCCGUUAGUUACCCCGGCGGUUACCCGGGAGCCUCCAGUUUACCUCCAACCUCUCAGGGAUUACCCGCCAAUUCGGGAGGGUUCGUGGCACCGCCUCCUAGCCAUUUAACCGAUCCAUUACAGAGCUUAAAAGAUGUCAAGGUUCCUGGGUAUUUACCGCCGCCUCAAGCCCCUCAAACCCCCGAGCGAAGCUCCUCGGAACGGCCGCCCUCCGGUCCGGCCCUGGACGCCAUUAAAAAGGAACAAAUCGACUUCGGGGGUCCACCUACGAGCAGGGCCAGUCCGGCCCAGUCCGGUGGUAGUGAAAAAUGUCUUACUCCCAAGACCAGUAGUACUCCUACACCUCAAGUAAUAUCCCAAACGCCGCCCUUGAGACAACCCCCGAGCUCCCCGCACUCUGCGAUAAACCUAAUUAGUCCGGGAAGCAGUACGGGCAGUAUAGGGGGCAGUGCGACGCCCUCUUCACAUCCACCGGUGUCUUUGCCCGCCCCACAUCCCGCACAGCCCCAUCCUUCUUAUCCCGGUUCGAUGCCGCCGCCCCAUCUUAUGCACCCAUCAUUUUUACACUUUCAUGGUCAUCCGAGCUAUCCGGCAUAUCCGUUUGGUGCUUAUCCGUAUCCGUAUCCGGUGCCACAACCACAUGCCAUACCGCCGCCCACUUCCAGAGUUGAAAUGGCCGGACCACCUAAAAGCAUCGAUACGGUAAGUGCUACGGUAAUGUCGUCACAGCACAGUACCAGCAGUACGUUAACGUCCAAAAGGGAGACCAGGGAGUCGGACGAGCACGGCGGUGAGAGGCAUCAAAGUCACGAAAUGACCCUUACGCAUCACCAAAGUACUUCACAUAACAGUUCAAUACACGCGAGCGUCGAAAAACAACCGUACGGCGGCGGCAGUCACAGUAGCAUCACGAUAUCACACAGCACGAGCACCAGCUCCAGCCACCAGGUGCAGCACAAAGUCAACCAGAAAACCCUUCCACCUCGCUCCGUAUCACCGGGCAGCAGUCAGCAACACUCGCAGCAACAAACGAUGAUCCAGCAACAAAGUAGCUCGUCGACUACUUCCGGUGGCGGGCAACAGCAACAGCAGCAACACACGCACCAUCACACGCACACGCAUCACGACCGGAUGUCGCCCCAAAUGAUGGCGGCACGCGGUUUAAAACCGGCGCCGCCUCCCGGAGCACCGCCGCCCCAAGCCAAUCCACACCAUUUGAUGAUACAGCCGCCCAAUAUGGGACAUCAUCCGGGCGGAUUGGGACCACCACCUAUGACCGGAAGUUCGUUGGAUGCGCUUAGGGCGCACGCGGCCCAAGCCGCUGCUAAUAUGCAACAGCAACAACAGCAGCAACAGCAGCAGCAGCAGCAACAACAGCGAGACAUGCACCCGCCCAGCACCUCGCCGAUGAACCCACCAAAGAGCAUGUCCGAUGACGUGGUGAAAAUCGAGCCGGACCACGACGGUUCUCCGGAGGACGACAGCCAGAACAGCCCCAUCGGCCCUCCAAGCUACGCCGGAUUCUCAGAAAACAAAGAACCGGAAAGAGGUCCUUCGCCCGAACCGAGAAUCGAAGAUACGGAGUGUCACAGGAGCCAAUCGGCGAUUUUCUUGAGACAUUGGAACCGUGGGGACCAUAACUCGUGCACCAGGACUGAUCUCACUUUUAAGCCCGUGCCUGACUCUAAAUUGGCCAGGAAAAGGGAAGAAAGGUUACGCAAACAAGCGGAACGUGAAAGGGAGGAACGGGAGAGGGCGCAACAAGCACAGGCGAGGAAAAUCCAUACGCCAGAUAAGCCUGACGUUAAACCGCCUUCAAGGGGUCCCUUGGAAAGCAUAUCAGGUCCGUACGAAAGAUUCCCGAGACCGGGCAGCUUUUCAGAUACCCCGGCUUUAAGGCAACUCUCCGAAUAUGCCAGACCGCACGCUGGAUUCAGUCCCGGACAUAUGCCACGGUCUUUGCUACCUCAUACUGUGAUGGACCCGAUGCUCCAGUACCAGCUGAGCAUGUACGGACCGAGCGCGAGAGAGAGACUAGAACUCGAACAUCUCGAAAGGGAAAAGAGGGAGAGAGAAAUCCGAGAACUCAGGGAACGAGAACUGAACGACCGGCUAAAAGAGGAGAUAAUGAAGUCGGGAAUGCGACCGCCGAACACGGUCGAUCCCCAUUGGCUGGAGAUCCAGAGGAGGUACGCGGCCGCCGGUUUGGCCGGACCUCCCGGAGGUCCUCCGGGACUAUUGCCGCAUCAUUUCCUUUAUCCGGGAGGCGGAGGUGCCGCCCAGCUAUCGCAAAUGGAAAGGGAAAGGUUAGAACGGUUAGGAAUUCCACCGCCCGGUGCUCCCGGCGGACCUGGGGGCGGUCCUCCCGGCCACCCCCAUCACCCCGCCCACUUGGAAGCGGCGGAGCGGUUAGCCCUCGCCACCGAUCCCAUGUUGAAGGUACGCCUACAGAUGGCGGGAAUAUCGCCCGAGUAUCACGCGCAUACGCACGCGCACACCCACGCCCACACGCACCUACAUUUGCAUCCGCAACAGCAGCAGGCGCAGCAGGAGGCGGCUGCGGCCGCGGCGGCCGGAUUUCCUCUUCCAGGUACUCCAGGCUACCCCAGACCCGGCAUGAUACCCGGUAGGGACGGCCCAUUAGGUCUGCACCAUCCGGAUUUAUUGGGACGUCCUUACGCCGACUCGCUGGCACAUCAGGCAACAGAGAGAGCGCGAACUUAAGGUGCGGGCUCUGGAGGAGGCCGCCCGCGGAUCCAGGUCAUAAAAAUAAAAUCGUUCACAACUAUUGGGCCAAAGUCUUCUACGCCACAGGACGUAAAACGUAGAACGGCAAUUUUUAAACCCUUCUAAACCGGAUUAGUUUUUGGUUCGAUUAUUGUUGCAAUCAAGGUUGCUGGUCUCAAGAACUACUUUUUAUUUUUUACAUUUUUUAUUUUAUGUAUGUAUGAUUCCUUAAUGUAUAUUUUUAAGUUACCAGCUUUAAGGUAAAACUUUAUAUUUAUACAUUUUUUAAAACAAGCUUAUUUUACCUAGAAAGCUUUAAAUAGAUGAUUGUUAGUUCAAAAUUUUUUUUUGGACUAAUGUACAUACUAGAGUUAUAUUCCUGACUUUUUUAGACGUAUAUUAGGGCAAAAUACCAUAUUUUUAUUCACCUGAAUGUAAAAUAUUGUUAUUGAACGUAUAUAUUUUGCAUUAUUUUUUAAAUUUCCGGAUGUAGUUAAUUGACAAAAAAAAUUAACCUCAAACCACUUUGAACUAUCACAAAGGUACCAUAGU